CCUACGGGUGGCAGCAGUGGGGAAUAUUGGGCAAUGGGCGCAAGCCUGACCCAGCAACGCCGCGUGCAGGAAGAAGGCUCUCGGGUUGUAAACUUCUUUUUUUAGGGACGAAACCAAUGACGGUACCGUAUGAAUAAGCCACUGCUAACUACGUGCCAGCAGCCGCGGUAAUACGUAGGUGGCAAGCGUUAUCCGGAUUUACUGGGUGUAAAGGGCGUGUAGGUGGGAGGGCAAGUUAGAGGUGAAAUUCCAGGGCUCAACCCUGGAACUGGGUUUGCAACUGUUCUUCUUGAGAUAUGGAGAGGCAGGCGGAAUGCCGGGUGUAGCGGUGAAAUGCGUAGAGAUAAGGAGGAACACCAGUGGCGAAGGCGGCC
rnacentral:rRNA from 1 species